GCCCGGGUGGUGUAGUCCGGCCUAACAUGGGGGCCUGUCGAGCCCUCGCCUCGGGUUCAAAUCCCGGCCCGGGCG
rfam:Archaeoglobus sulfaticallidus PM70-1, complete genome.